GAUGAACGCUGGCGGCGUGCCUAAUACAUGCAAGUCGAGCGAACGGACGAGAAGCUUGCUUCUCUGAUGUUAGCGGCGGACGGGUGAGUAACACGUGGAUAACCUACCUAUAAGACUGGGAUAACUUCGGGAAACCGGAGCUAAUACCGGAUGAUAUUUUGAACCGCAUGGUUCAAAAGUGAAAGACGGUCUUGCUGUCACUUAUAGAUGGAUCCGCGGUGCAUUAGCUAGUUGGUAAGGUAACGGCUUACCAAGGCAACGAUGCAUAGCCGACCUGAGAGGGUGGUCGGCCACACUGGAACUGAGACACGGUCCAGACUCCUACGGGAGGCAGCAGUAGGGAAUCUUACGCAAUGGGCGAAAGCCUGACGGAGCAACGCCGCGUGAGUGAUGAAGGUCUUCGGAUCGUAAAACUCUGUUAUUAGGGAAGAACAUAUGUGUAAGUAACUGUGCACAUCUUGACGGUACCUAAUCAGAAAGCCACGGCUAACUACGUG
rnacentral:rRNA from 1 species